UACGUAGGGGGCAAGCGUUAUCCGGAUUUACUGGGUGUAAAGGGAGCGUAGACGGCAAUGCAAGUCUGGAGUGAAAGGCGGGGGCCCAACCCCCGGACUGCUCUGGAAACUGUAUAGCUGGAGUGCAGGAGAGGUAAGUGGAAUUCCUAGUGUAGCGGUGAAAUGCGUAGAUAUUAGGAGGAACACCAGUGGCGAAAGCGGCUUACUGGACUGUAACUGACGUUGAGGCUCGAAAGCGUGGGGAGCAAACAGG
rnacentral:rRNA from 1 species